rnacentral:SRP_RNA from 1 species
CGGCGGACUAGGCCGGGGAGCUAGGCGUUCCCUGUAAUCUGAAAUCGCCUAUAUGCAGAGGCCGAAGUCAAAUGAGCGGCAUCCACCCCUAUGGCCCACGGCCCCUGCGCAGGCGCAGAAGUCUCGUCCUGCAGGGCCGGUGGAAACAUCCCUCAGGCCGAAGGGCCUGAAAGGAUGUUCUUACUUGUUGAACCCGUCAGGCCCGGAAGGGAGCAGCGGCAGACAAGACAUCUCGGCGCUUGCAGGGUAGCGGGACCGAGCCAGCACAGGAACAACCGUAGUCAUAGGGCGAUGUCCAUCAUUUGACCCGUCCGCCA